GAACGCUCCAUGGAUGUGGCUGAAGGCGUUGACCGUCUUCGAUAGCAAAUGGAGCUGGGGUUCAACGACUCUUGCCUACUUGUACCGACAUGUAGUUGCUGGACGAUGCGUGUUGCAGGAUCACAGAUAGUGCAGGCAUUGGUGGUAAUCUGCUUCUACUUUCUGUAUGGAGCUGGGAGCGUCUGCCUGUUGGACGCCCGAAGAGCGUCAGGUUUGAUCCUUGGUAUGCAGAUGAACAUGACGAAUUACGGUGCCCCACGUGGGAUUACAAGUGGGAUAUCGUUUCCGAGAUGACGAACUAUGUCAAUCUCAUGUACCAAAAGUACAUUGCCGAGUUGGACACGAUUACGCCUGAGCAGGUGGUAUGGCAGCCAUAUGGCACGGGUGAGAGCUUGGGGUACACCGAGGAGUUCCGCCUCAACCCGAUGUGCUUGUGGGAUAAGGAUCUCUAGCUUAUGCGGUGCCCACUGAUAUGCAACUGGGCGGUUGAGUUUCAUUUGCCGCAUCGCGUGUAUCGUCAGUUUGGUCUUUUCCAGCCUCACCCGCCGGAUUGGGUGGACACGGACAAAGCACUUCAUAGGUUGGACAGGAGAAGGCAACUGAAGAUAAAGGACUGGGACAAGCAUCAUGCUCCGUAUGUUACCCGCUUCCAGCUUUACGUGGAGCAAGCUCGUAGCACUACACGCGCCCCGCUUCGUGAGCACAACCCACUUGCUUUUGAUAACUACGUACGGUAGUUUAUUGGAACUACUCGAGUUGAGAUAUGCCCGCCGACAUAUAAUGAGGAUAUUCUUGAAGAACCCGUAAACUUUGAGGAUCUAGCAAAGGGGAAGUACAACAGAGAUGUCAGGCGAGGGCAAGGAGUCCCUGCUGUUCCGGUUAUUUACUAGUGCACCGAGAUCAAGAAAGCAGCUGAUGAGAGCCAGUCUAUUCUGGAGAAGACACCGGUUGGAAACGGCAAUGAUUAUGGUUGGUUAUAGGCGUGAGUUGGAAGUGCACGAUCAUAAGCAUAGUUCGGGCAUACAAAAUAUCUCCGCCCUUCCGUCCAUGCUUUCUUUCGGUCGGUGGACACCUUCACCUUGCAAACAUCUCCACACCAACAUGGUGGGAUGUUGACAUCUUUCUCCUUCACCUUGUCCAAAGAUGCGUCCUCCCACUUGUUCGGCAUGUCUUCUUGGUUAGCACACGGUGGCCUCGUCAUG